GACGAACGCUGGCGGCGUGCUUAACACAUGCAAGUCGAACGGAAAGGCCCUGCUUUUGUGGGGUGCUCGAGUGGCGAACGGGUGAGUAACACGUGAGUAACCUGCCCUUGACUUUGGGAUAACUUCAGGAAACUGGGGCUAAUACCGGAUAGGAGCUCCUGCUGCAUGGUGGGGGUUGGAAAGUUUCGGCGGUUGGGGAUGGACUCGCGGCUUAUCAGCUUGUUGGUGGGGUAGUGGCUUACCAAGGCUUUGACGGGUAGCCGGCCUGAGAGGGUGACCGGCCACACUGGGACUGAGAUACGGCCCAGACUCCUACGGGCGGCAGCAGUGGGGAAUAUUGCACAAUGGGCGGAAGCCUGAUGCAGCAACGCCGCGUGCGGGAUGACGGCCUUCGGGUUGUAAACCGCUUUCGCCUGUGACGAAGCGUGAGUGACGGUAAUGGGUAAAGAAGCACCGGCUAACUACGUG
rnacentral:rRNA from 1 species